UCUCCGACAGAGUCACAUUCACCAGCAUUGAUCUCUGGACCAGGAACGACUUCCUACAAUAUUCCCAUCAGUUCACUCUGGAUCUGAACACAGUGAAUAAACACCUUCGUCUGUCUGAGAACAACAGAGUGAUUACUGUCACUGUCCCAGUCCAGUUGUAUCCUGAUCAUCCAGACAGAUUUGAUGUGUAUCAUCAGGUGUUGUGUAGAGAGAGUGUGUGUGGACGCUGUUACUGGGAGAUUGAGUGGAGUGGAUGUGUGUUUAUAUCAGUGUCAUAUAAGAGCAUCAGCAGGAAGGGACGGGGUAAAGAGUGUGUGUUUGGACGUAAUGAUCAGUCCUGGAGUUUGAUCUGCUCUCGCUCCAGAUACUCAUUCAUACACAAUAACAUAAAGACUGCUCUCUCUGUGAAGCCCAUCAGCAGGAGAAUAGGAGUGUCUGAUGAUGGUGAUGGUGAUGGUGAUGAUGAUGAUGAUGUUGUCAGGAGAAUAGGAGUGUCUGAUGAUGGUGAUGGUGAUGGUGAUGAUGAUGAUGAUGUUGUCAGGAGAAUAGGAGUG